rnacentral:rRNA from 1 species
UACGUAGGUGGCAAGCGUUGUCCGGAUUUACUGGGCGUAAAGCGCACGCAGGCGGCUGGCUAAGUCUGAUGUGAAAUCUCCCGGCUUAACCGGGAGGGGUCAUCGGAUACUGGCCGGCUCGAGGAAGGUAGAGGAGAGUGGAAUUCCCGGUGUAGUGGUGGAAUGCGUAGAUAUGCGGAGGAACACCAAUGGCGAAGGCAAUCCCCUGGGCCGUGCACUGACGCUCAUGCACGAAAGCGU